rnacentral:rRNA from 1 species
GACGAACGCUGGCGGCGUGCUUAACACAUGCAAGUCGAACGGAAAGGCCCUGCUUUUGUGGGGUGCUCGAGUGGCGAACGGGUGAGUAACACGUGAGUAACCUGCCCUUGACUUUGGGAUAACUUCAGGAAACUGGGGCUAAUACCGGAUAGGAGCUCCUGCUGCAUGGUGGGGGUUGGAAAGUGUCGGCGGUUGGGGAUGGACUCGCGGCUUAUCAGCUUGUUGGUGGGGUAGUGGCUUACCAAGGCUUUGACGGGUAGCCGGCCUGAGAGGGUGACCGGCCACAUUGGGACUGAGAUACGGCCCAGACUCCUACGGGAGGCAGCAGUGGAGAGUAUUGCACAAUGGGCGGAAGCCUGAUGCAGCAACGCCGCGUGCGGGAUGACGGCCUUCGGGUUGUAAACCGCUUUCGACUGUGACGAAGCGUGAGUGACGGUAAUGGGUAAAGAAGCACCGGCUAACUACGUG